GACAGAAGGGAAUGUGACAGAGGCCAGCAGGAGUCGCUAUGCAGUAGUAGUCAAUAGGCGUCACUCCCCCCCAACAGCUAAAGGAUGCUCUGGCGACUCAGCCUAGAACCUGGGUUUUUAGCUG